UACGAAGGGGCUAGCGUUGCUCGGAAUCACUGGGCGUAAAGCGCACGUAGGCGGAUCUUUAAGUCAGGGGUGAAAUCCCAAGGCUCAACCUUGGAACUGCCUUUGAUACUGGGGAUCUCGAGUCCGGAAGAGGUGAGUGGAACUGCGAGUGUAGAGGUGAAAUUCGUAGAUAUUCGCAAGAACACCAGUGGCGAAGGCGGCUCACUGGCCCGGUACUGACGCUGAGGUGCGAAAGCGUGGGAGCAACAGG
rnacentral:rRNA from 1 species